rnacentral:rRNA from 1 species
CAGUAGCCGCGGUAAAACAGAGGAUGCAAGCGUUAUCCGGAAUUAUUGGGCGUAAAGGGCUCGCAGGCGGUUUCUUAAGUCUGAUGUGAAAGCCCCCGGCUCAACCGGGGAGGGUCAUUGGAAACUGGGAAACUUGAGUGCAGAAGAGGAGAGUGGAAUUCCACGUGUAGCGGUGAAAUGCGUAGAGAUGCGGAGGAACACCAGUGGCGAAGGCGACUCUCUGGUCUGUAACUGACGCUGAGGAGCGAAAGCGUGGGGAGCGAACAGGAUUAGAUACCCCGGUAGUCCCUGUCUCUUAUAC